UACGUAGGUACCGAGCGUUAUCCGGAUUUAUUGGGCGUAAAGCGAGCGUAGGCGGCUAGAUAAGUUUAAAGUUAAAGGGUGUGGCUUAACCAUAUAAAGCUUUGGAUACUGGCUAGCUUGAGUGCAAGAGAGGGGAGUGGAAUUCCAUGUGUAGCGGUGAAAUGCGUAGAUAUAUGGAGGAACACCGGUGGCGAAAGCGGCUUUCUGGAUUGUAACUGACGCUGAGGCGCGAAAGCGUGGGGAGCAAACAGG
rnacentral:rRNA from 1 species